rnacentral:rRNA from 1 species
AACGCUAGCUACAGGCUUAACACAUGCAAGUCGAGGGGAAACGAUAUUGGAAGCUUGCUUCCGAUAGGCGUCGACCGGCGCACGGGUGAGUAACGCGUAUCCAACCUGCCCACCACUUGGGGAUAACCUUGCGAAAGUAAGACUAAUACCCAAUGACGUCUCUAGAAGACAUCUGAAAGGGAUUAAAGAUUUAUCGGUGAUGGAUGGGGAUGCGUCUGAUUAGCUUGUUGGCGGGGUAACGGCCCACCAAGGCGACGAUCAGUAGGGGUUCUGAGAGGAAGGUCCCCCACAUUGGAACUGAGACACGGUCCAAACUCCUACGGGAGGCAGCAGUGAGGAAUAUUGGUCAAUGGGCGUAAGCCUGAACCAGCCAAGUAGCGUGCAGGAUGACGGCCCUAUGGGUUGUAAACUGCUUUUAUGCGGGGAUAAAGUGUACCAUGUAUGGUGUUUUGCAGGUACCGCAUGAAUAAGGACCGGCUAAUUCCGUGCCAGCAGCCGCGGUAAUACGGAAGGUCCGGGCGUUAUCCGGAUUUAUUGGGUUUAAAGGGAGCGUAGGCCGUUUUUUAAGCGUGUUGUGAAAUGCCGCGGCUCAACCGUGGCACUGCAGCGCGAACUGGAUGACUUGAGUGCGCGGGAGGUAGGCGGAAUUCGUGGUGUAGCGGUGAAAUGCUUAGAUAUCACGAAGAACUCCGAUUG